UACGUAGGGGGCAAGCGUUGUCCGGAAUUAUUGGGCGUAAAGCGCGCGCAGGCGGCUUCUUAAGUCUGAUGUGAAAUCUUGCGGCUUAACCGCAAGCGGGCAUUGGAAACUGUGGAGCUUGAGUACAGAAGAGGCGAGUGGAAUUCCACGUGUAGCGGUGAAAUGCGUAGAUAUGUGGAGGAACACCAGUGGCGAAGGCGACUCUCUGGUCUGUAACUGACGCUGAGGCGCGAAAGCGUCGGGAGCAAACAUG
rnacentral:misc_RNA from 1 species